rnacentral:rRNA from 1 species
UACGUAGGGUCCGAGCGUUGUCCGGAAUUACUGGGCGUAAAGAGCUCGUAGGUGGUUUGUCGCGUUGUUCGUGAAAACUCACAGCUUAACUGUGGGCGUGCGGGCGAUACGGGCAGACUGGAGUACUGCAGGGGAGACUGGAAUUCCUGGUGUAGCGGUGGAAUGCGCAGAUAUCAGGAGGAACACCGGUGGCGAAGGCGGUUCUCUGGGCAUUACCUGACGCUGGAGGAGCGAAAGCAUGGGGAGCGAACAGG